GGUCCGCUGGCUCAAUGGCAGAGCGUCUGACUACGAAGUUCGAUCGUUUUUGAUCGAUCAAACGAGCUAUCAGGAGGUUCCAGGUUCGACCCCUGGGUGGAUCG